rnacentral:rRNA from 1 species
GAUGAACGCUGGCGGCGUGCCUAAUACAUGCAAGUCGAGCGAACAGACGAGGAGCUUGCUCCUCUGACGUUAGCGGCGGACGGGUGAGUAACACGUGGAUAACCUACCUAUAAGACUGGGAUAACUUCGGGAAACCGGAGCUAAUACCGGAUAAUAUAUUGAACCGCAUGGUUCAAUAGUGAAAGACGGUUUUGCUGUCACUUAUAGAUGGAUCCGCGCCGCAUUAGCUAGUUGGUAAGGUAACGGCUUACCAAGGCAACGAUGCGUAGCCGACCUGAGCGGGUGAUCGCCCACACUGGAUCUGAGACACGGUCCAGACUCCUACGGGAGGCCGCAGUAGGGAAUCUUCCGCAAUGGGCGAAAGCCUGACGGAGCAACGCCGCGUGAGUGAUGAAGGUCUUCGGAUCGUAAAGCUCUGUUAUUAGGGAAGAACAAAUGUGUAAGUAACUAUGCACGUCUUGACGGUACCUAGUCAGAAAGCCACGGCUAACUACGUG